UGCACCUGCCCAGAAACCUGACCAAUGCAUGAACUCCUUACAUAAGCAAAGCUUAGAACAUGGGCUAGAUGUGCACUCCUGUCAGGAGAUGGGAAGGGGAGAUGGCCAUACAAGGUGCAAAAUAGUCCAGUAC